rnacentral:rRNA from 1 species
GGUGAAAAGCACCCCGGAAGGGGAGUGAAAUAGAACCUGAAACCGUGUGCUUACAAGUAGUCAGAGCCCGUUAAUGGGUGAUGGCGUGCCUUUUGUAGAAUGAACCGGCGAGUUACGAUUUGAUGCAAGGUUAAGCAGUAAAUGUGGAGCCGUAGCGAAAGCGAGUCUGAAUAGGGCGUUUAGUAUUUGGUCGUAGACCCGAAACCAGGUGAUCUACCCUUGGUCAGGUUGAAGUUCAGGUAACACUGAAUGGAGGACCGAACCGACUUACGUUGAAAAGUGAGCGGAUGAACUGAGGGUAGCGGAGAAAUUCCAAUCGAACCUGGAGAUAGCUGGUUCUCUCCGAAAUAGCUUUAGGGCUAGCCUCAAGUGAUGAUUAUUGGAGGUAGAGCACUGUUUGGACGAGGGGCCCCUCUCGGGUUACCGAAUUCAGACAAACUC